rnacentral:rRNA from 1 species
UACAUGGGGUGCAAACGUUGCUCGGAAUUAUUGGGCGUAAAGCGCACGUAGGCGGUUAUCUAAGUCGGAUGUGAAAGCCCUCGGCUCAACUGAGGAAGUGCAUCCGAAACUGAAUAGCUAGAGUAUGGAAGAGGGUCGCGGAAUUCCCGGUGUAGAGGUGAAAUUCGUAGAUAUCGGGAGGAACACCGGUGGCGAAGGCGGCGACCUGGGCCAAUACUGACGCUGAGGUGCGAAAGCGUGGGGAGCAAACAGG